UACAUGAAACUAUCUCGCAUAUAACAUAUGAAAGAUGCAGGUUAUGGUUAUGGUUUUUCUACAACUUCAUAUGUGACUUGAGCUUUUUUCAUGUAUUUGCUAUGGUUACGGGUUAUAUAAUACAUGAAACCAUCUCGCAUAUAACGUAUGAAAGGUGUAGGUUAUGGUUAUGGUUUUUGGCUAUGGAUUGUUUUUCUCUUCUUUUUCACAUCUUCAUAAUAAAGAUGCAGUUAAGGUUAUGGGUUGUUGAUUUCAUGGUUUCUUCUUUUUCUUCGUCUUCUUCAUCAACUUCAUCUUCUCCUUCUUCUAUCUUUACGGGUCCUUGUGAACGACGGCGCUCUGAUGCCACUGAUAUGGUUUUUUGUGUUUUUGUAUUGCGGAAUUUGGUGAGAUAUAAAUUUAGGGAGAAAACUCUCCUC
rnacentral:lncRNA from 1 species